GGAUCAAGGAAUCGGUCAUGCCUUGGUAUGUACUGGUCUCACUGAUUCCUCCUUCCUGAUGAGCCGUAAUGCCAUUAAUUUGGUGUUGCGGGGAAUUUGGACUGUUACUUUGAAAAAAUUAGAGUGUUUAAAGCAAGCUUACGCUUGAAUACAUUAGCAUGGAAUAAUGAAAUAGGACGUUCGAUCCUAUUUUGUUGGUUUCUAGGAUCACCGUA
rnacentral:rRNA from 1 species